rnacentral:rRNA from 1 species
GUAGGUGGCAAGCGUUGUCCGGAAUUAUUGGGCGUAAAGCGCGCGCAGGCGGUUCUUUAAGUCUGAUGUGAAAGCCCACGGCUCAACCGUGGAGGGUCAUUGGAAACUGGAAAACUUGAGUACAGAAGAGGAAAGCGGAAUUCCACGUGUAGCGGUGAAAUGCGUAGAGAUGUGGAGGAACACCAGUGGCGAAGGCGGCUUUCUGGUCUGUAACUGACGCUGAGGCGCGAAAGCGUGGGGAGCAAACAGGGAUUAGAUACCCUGGUAGUCCACGCCGUAAACGAUGAGUGCUAAGUGUUAGGGGGUUUCCCGCCCCUUAGUGCUGCAGCUAACGCAUUAAGCACUCCGCCGGGGGGAGUACGGCCGCAAGGCUG